UUGAACGCUGGCGGAAUGCUUUACACAUGCAAGUCGAGCGGCAGCGCGGGGGCAACCUUGGCGGCGAGCGGCGAACGGGUGAGUAACAUAUCGGAACGUACCCAGACGUGGGGGACAACUAGUCGAAAGACUAGCUAAUACCGCAUACGUCCUGAGGGAGAAAGCGGGGGAUCGCAAGACCUCGCGCGUUUGGAGCGGCCGAUAUCUGAUUAGCUAGUUGGUGGGGUAAAGGCUCACCAAGGCGACGAUCAGUAGCGGGUCUGAGAGGAUGAUCCGUCACACUGGAACUGAGACACGGUCCAGACUCCUACGGGAGGCAGCAGUGGGGAAUUUUGGACAAUGGGGGCAACCCUGAUCCAGCCAUUCCGCGUGAGUGAAGAAGGCCUUCGGGUUGUAAAGCUCUUUCAGCCGGAACGAAACGGUACGCUCUAACAUAGCGUGCUAAUGACGGUACCGGCAGAAGAAGCACCGGCUAACUACGU
rnacentral:rRNA from 1 species